rnacentral:rRNA from 1 species
UACGUAGGUGGCAAGCGUUGUCCGGGUUUAUUGGGCGUAAAGCGCGUGCAGGCGGUUCGUUAAGUCCGAGGUGAAAUCUCCCGGCUCAACUGGGAGGGGUCUUCGAAUACUGGCGGACUUGAGGAGAGCAGAGGUGAGUGGAAUUCUCGGUGUAGUGGUGAAAUGCGUAGAUAUCGAGAGGAACACCAGCGGCGAAGGCGGCUCACUGGGCUCCACCUGACGCUGAGGCGCGAAAGCGUGGGGAUCAAACAGG